AACCGAAAACCCUUUUCCUCUCCUUUCCUCUCCCGAUCGCGAGCGACGGCGUCGGCUUCUCUCGGGCAGAAAUGAAGAAGAGGGCUAAGGGCUUCACCUCUAUCUCCUCCUCCCGUGCGCCUUCUCCUCUCGAGCGACAGUGAAGAAGAAGCCCGUGAGCACGGACACGAAGGGAAGAGGCCGAGAUUGUGAGCUCCUCCGAAACCCUAGAGCUACCUUUCUCCUUCGGUAGUAAGCUCAAGAACAGCAAGAUACAGGAAAGGAAAAGAUAUAGAAAGGCGGCAAGGAGGUGUUCGAGGGAUGUG